AGGAAUGAGCUGCUGACAGAAUACAGUAAACCCUCUGGAGAGCUGAGAGCUGUUUUGUUUCUUAAAGCAUCCUCAAGUAACAAGCAUCCUUUACCUUCAUCUGAUUGAGUUUCCUGACUUAUAACUGAACUUAUGAGGCAACAUACCUCUAGAGAGCGGCCCAGACCUUUAUAUAUUUUUCUGUAUGUGGCCCUCGGUGAAAAAGGUUUGGACCCCCCUGUUCUAGACCAAUGAGUGGUUACUUCCUGUCAUGCAGCUGAGAGCUGUGGCAGGCAGUCGUAGUGUUUGCAGAGAAGAUAUGAUGGGAUGUAAAGCAUGAGAUCAGGACUCUGAAGCUGACUCAAAGAACAAACACUUAUUUUAAACUGGAUCUUAAACUGUUGGAUUGUGUUCAUCUCUACAGGAUCGGACUAGGAGAGCCGAUCAGAGCCACGAUCCAGAAGACCUGUGACAGGAAGUGAAGACACACAGAAAGUUUAUUCAUCACGGGGCGAGUUUGAGACGUGAAGAGGAGCGCGGAGGCAUUUUGGAAAAUAAAGAAGAAGGCUGCAGCUGAUGAGAGACUUCCUGUUGGCUCUCCUCAAUAUGAAAUGAACAAAAACAAUCAAUUGUACUUAAAGCUUUUCUUCAGAAGAGAGAUGUGUUGCUCAUACACCUGCUGCUACCUACCACCACCUCCCACCCAUCCCGGCACCAAAGAGGAGACUCCAUCGACCCCAGAUACCCCGACUCACUCUUCUUCAGGUUAGCUUGGAGCCCCGCCUUCUCCACCCUGCCUCCGACCUUUCUCCCCUGCCCCAAAUGGUCCUGGACUCUCUCUCUCACACACACAC